GACGAACGCUGGCGGCGUGCUUAACACAUGCAAGUCGAACGGAAAGGCCCUGCUUUUGUGGGGUGCUCGAGUGGCGAACGGGUGAGUAACACGUGAGUAACCUGCCCUUGACUUUGGGAUAACUUCAGGAAACUGGGGCUAAUACCGGAUAGGAGCUCCUGCUGCAUGGUGGGGGUUGGAAAGUUUCGGCUGUUGGGGAUGGAUUCGCGGGUUAUCAGCUUGUUGGUGGGGUAGUGGCUUACCAAGGCUUUGACGGGUAGCCGGCCUGGGAGGGUGACCGGGCACAUUGGGACUGAGGGACGGAGAAGAAGGCAACGGGAGGAAGGAGGGGGGAGGAUGGCGGAAGGGGGGGGAGGGUGAGGGGGAGACGCCGCGUGCGGGAGGACGGGCUUCGGGUGGUAAACCGAUUUGGGCUGAGAGGAGGCGGGAGUGACGGUAAUGGGUAAAGAAGCAACGGCUAACUACGUG
rnacentral:rRNA from 1 species